AUUGAACGCUGGCGGCAGGCCUAACACAUGCAAGUCGAACGGUAACAGGAAGAAGCUUGCUUCUUUGCUGACGAGUGGCGGGCGUGUGAGUCAUGUCUGGGAAACUGCCUGAUGGAGGGGGAUAACUACUGGAAACGGUAGCUAAUACCGCAUAACGUCGCAAGAGCAUAAAGGGGGACCUUCGGGCCUCUUGCCAUCGGCUGUGCCCAGAUGGGAUUAGCUAGUAGGUGGGGUAACGGCUCACCUAGGCGACGAUCCCUAGCUGGUCUGAGAGGAUGACCAGCCACACUGGAACUGAGACACGGUCCAGACUCCUACGGGAGGCAGCAGUGGGGAAUAUUGCGCAAUGGGCGCAAGCCUGAAGCAGCAACGCCGCGUGAAUGAAGAAGGUCUUCGGAUUGUAAAGUUCUGUUAGUAGGGAAGAACAAAUUAGUGAGAAAAUAUGCACGUCUUGACGGUACCUAAACAGAAAGCAACGGCUAACUACGUG
rnacentral:rRNA from 1 species